rnacentral:sRNA from 1 species
CACCGCCUGGGGAGUACGACCGCAAGGUUAAAACUCAAAUGAAUUGACGGGGACCCGCACAAGCAGUGGAGCAUGUGGUUUAAUUCGAAGAUACGCGCAGAACCUUACCAACACUUGACAUGUUCGUCGCGAACCUAAGAGAUUAGGUUUUUCAGUUUGGCUGGACGAAACACAGGUGCUGCAUGGCUGUCGUCAGCUCGUGUCGUGAGAUGUUGGGUUAAGUCCCGCAACGAGCGCAACCCUUACUUUUAGUUGCUACCAUUCAGUUGGGCACUCUAAAAGAACUGCCAGUGAUAAGCUGGAGGAAGGUGGGGAUGACGUCAAGUCCUCAUGGCCCUUACGUGUUGGGCUACACACGUGCUACAAUGGUAUUUACAGUGGGAUGCAAAAAGGCAACUCUAAGCCAACCCCAAAAAGAUACCUCAGUUCGGAUUGUACUCUGCAACUCGAGUACAUGAAGCUGGAAUUGCUAGUAAUCGCGGAUCAGCGCGCCGCGGUGAAUACGUCCCCGGGUCUUGUACACACCGCCCGUCACACCAUGGAAGUUGGUUACACCUUAAAGCAAAGUGUAAAACCUUUGACUACGGUACGAUCAGCGACUGGGGUGAAGUCGUAACAAGGUAGCCGUAGGGGAACCUGCGGCUGGAUCACCUCCUUUCUAAGGAAAUCGAAAAUAUUAUUUUCGAUUUAAAAAAAACGGUAAUGUGACCGUCCUCAUUUCUCUUCUUUUAAUGUCUCUGAGUAAAAGUGAUGUAAGGGGCCGGUAGCUCAGGUGGUUAGAGCGCACCCCUGAUAAGGGUGAGGUCGGAAGUUCGAGUCUUCCUCGGCCCACCAAUAUUAUGGGGGAUUAGCUCAGCUGGGAGAGCGCCUGAUUUGCAUUCAGGAGGUCAGCGGUUCGAUCCCGCUAUCCUCCACCAAAAAUUGAGACAUUUAGCUUUUUUGAAUCGUGAAUAUUAUUAAUAUUAUCAAUAUCUAUAUCCGAUUGUUUUCAGAUAUUUUUUGAAAACAAUCAAAACAAAAAUUUGAAUUUUUCACAGAAAGUUUUUUUCUG